rnacentral:rRNA from 1 species
UACGUAGGGCGCAAGCGUUGUCCGGAAUUAUUGGGCGUAAAGAGCUCGUAGGCGGCCUGUUGCGUCCGCUGUGAAAUCCCGGGGCUUAACCCCGGGCGUGCAGUGGAUACGGGCAGGCUGGAGCCAGGCAGGGGAGAACGGAAUUCCCGGUGUAGCGGUGAAAUGCGCAGAUAUCGGGAGGAACACCGGUGGCGAAGGCGGUUCUCUGGGCCUGUACUGACGCUGAGGAGCGAAAGCGUGGGGAGCGAACAGG